rnacentral:tRNA from 1 species
GCCUGGGUGGCUCAGUCGGUUAAGCGUCUGACUUCAGCUGAGGUCACGAUCUCACGGUUUGUGAGUUUGAGCCCCACUUCAGGCU